GUUAACUACUAUAUUUUCCAAUACUAUACACGUUUCACUUCCAAAAGGAUUCUAAAGUUAUAUUCCACCGAUACAGUCAUUUUUUAAUGUAAUUUGUGCAAUACAUUUAGUGGAUGCAUUAAUGCAUUAUUUUGUAGAACGGGAAGUUAGAAAGAGUGUUAGAGGAAUUGAAUUCCUCUUCAUGCUGGUGGUGCUGCUCCAUCAGCUUGCUUGGGAAUACCUGCUGGAGGCUAUUGCUAUGAUGCCUUUGUAUUGUACAGUGGGAGAGAGGAGCGCUGGGUGGUGGAGCAGCUGCUUCCCGGCCUGGAGCAGAGGGGGUCUCCCUGCGUCUAUGUCAGCAUAGCAGGGACUUCCAAUUGGGGAAGGACAUUGUGGACUACAUCACAGACAGCCUCUACGGCAGCCGCUACACCGUGUGUGUGGUGAGUCGUAACUACCUGAACAGUAACUGGCCGCACCCUCCGUCUGCUGGUGGAGCAAAGGGUCAUCCUUAUCUUCCUGGAGGAAAUCCCCCCAGCUGUCUGCCCACCACCGCCUGUCUAGGCUGGUCAAGACCAGGACCUGAGCUCUAGGAACAUGACUCAGGACUACCUGGCCUGAUGACUCCUUGCUGUCCCCAGUCCAUCUGGCCGUGCUGCUGCUCCAGUUUCAACUCUUCUUCCUGCGACUAUGGAACCCUGACCUGUUCACCGGAUGUGCUACCUGUCCCAGACCUGCUGUUUUCAACACUCUAGAGACAGCAGGAGCGGUAGAGAUACUCUGAAUGAUCGGCUAUGAAAAGCCAACUGACAUUUACUCCUGAGGUGCUGACCUGUUGCACCCUUGACAACCACUGUGAUUGUUAUUAUUAUUUGACCCUGCUGGUAAUCUAUGAACAUUUGAACAUCUUGGCCAUGUUCUGUUAUAAUCUCCACCCGGCACCACCAGAAGAGGACUGGCCACCCCACAUAGCCUGGUUCCUCUCUAGGUUUCUUACUAGGUUCUGGCUUUUCUAGGGAGUUUUUCCUAGCCACCGUGCUUCUACACCUGCAUUGCUUGCUGUUCUGGGUUUUAGGCUGGGUUUCUGUACAGCACUUUGAGAUAUCAGCUGAUGUAAGAAGGAAAUUUAAGAAGAAAAAUAAUAUUACAUUUUUUUAAAAUGUCAAUCUACACACAAUUCCCCAAAAUGACAAAACGAAAACAGGUUUUUAGACAUUUUUGCAAAUGUAUUAAACAUAAAAAAGAUAAAUACCUUAUUUACGUAAGUAUUCAGACCCUUUGCUAUGAGACUCGAAAUUGAGCACAGAUCUGUGGAAGGGUACCAACAAAUUCUGCAGCGUUGAAGGUCCCCAAUAACACAAUGGCCUCCAUCAUUGUAAAAUGGAAGAAGUUUGGAACCACCAAGACUCUUCCUAGAGCUGGCGCCCAGCCAAACUGAGCAAUCGAGUGAGAAGGGCCAUGGUCAGGGAGGAGACCAAGAACACAAUGGUCGCUCUGACAGAGCUCCAGAGUUCCUCUGUGGAGAUGGGAGAACCUUCCAGAAGGACAAACAUCUCUGCAGCACUCCACCAAUCAGACGAAAGCCACUCCUCUAUAAAAGGCACAUGACAGCUCGAUUGGACUUUGCCAAAGGGUUACCUAAAGGACUCUCAGACCAUGAAAAACAAGAUUCUCUGAUCUGAUGAAACCAAUAUUUAACUCAUUGGCCUGAAUGGCAAACGUCAUUUCUAGAGGAAACCUUGCACCAUCACUACGGUGAAGCAUGGUGGUGGCAGCAUCAUGCUGUAACAUAACGAAAUGUGGGAAUAGUGAAGUGGUCUGAAUACUUUCCGAAUGUAUAUAUUUUCUAUGACCUUGUGUGUUGAGGAACUUGACCUGAAGACCUGAAGGCUUGUCUUCUAAAUUCUAUGUUCAUUAUGACUUGAGUAUGUUGUCUUUCCUGUGUUGUAUAAUGCCUUGGGUGUGAUAAAAACACUUUAUUCUUUAA